rnacentral:snRNA from 1 species
CCUCACCCAUCCAUGUGCCUCCCUCCCUAAGCUGCGCUCUGGGUCGUAGAGGACGACCACCCCCCCCUCCCCCGAGGAGAGGACAGGGCUUCAGUCAAGGUUAUACGAGUAACUGCGCUCCCCUGCUAGGACCUCCAAACAAGCUCUCAAGAAGUGUUUCCAACAGAUUUUGCAAGGAUAGACGAGAAAAAUGAUUAGAAAA